rnacentral:rRNA from 1 species
CUACGGGAGGCAGCAGUGGGGAAUAUUGCACAAUGGGCGCAAGCCUGAUGCAGCCAUGCCGCGUGUAUGAAGAAGGCCUUCGGGUUGUAAAGUACUUUCAGCGGGGAGGAAGGUAGUAAAGUUAAUACCUUUGCUCAUUGACGUUACCCGCAGAAGAAGCACCGGCUAACUCCGUGCCAGCAGCCGCGGUAAUACGGAGGGUGCAAGCGUUAAUCGGAAUUACUGGGCGUAAAGCGCACGCAGGCGGUUUGUUAAGUCAGAUGUGAAAUCCCCGGGCUCAGCCUGGGAACUGCAUCUGAUACUGGCAAGCUUGAGUCUCGUAGAGGGGGGUAGAAUUCCAGGUGUAGCGGUGAAAUGCGUAGAGAUCUGGAGGAAUACCGGUGGCGAAGGCGGCCCCCUGGACGAAGACUGACGCUCAGGUGCGAAAGCGUGGGGAGCAAACAGGAUUAGAUACCCCGGUAGUC